GAAACGUUCUUUGACUUCAUUCACGAUCACUAAUUAAAACUCUAGACACUUCAAUAAUUGGGUUUCGUUUUCUCUGAUCCAUCAAGGGAUCCCCCCCCUUCUUUGUAAAUCGAAGACCUUACUAUCUCACUUCCUCUUCCUCGGCCAAGUAACGUUCUGGCUUUAAGUCAAUCACUGUUAAAACCCACUAAUCCCAUGAUUUCCUCUUCAUUGCAACUUUUGGAUUUCCUCAGUUUCUAUCUCUAUAUAUCCUUUUGGUCUCGAGCUUCUCCUCUUUACCAAAAUUAUAAAAAUCUAAGAAUCUUGGCAAGCUUCUACACUCUAAGCUGCGACAUUUCCUUACGAACAGUUGUCGCAAAGUUGAUUCUGUACAGUUCAAAGGUUCAUUCUGCGGAUCAAAAGAUCAUUUGGAUGGCUCAGCAUCGAGCACUGAAACUUCACAUGAAGCAAAAUAUGUCUAUGGAAUCAUAAUCUCCGGAGACCAGAUCCGCAAUACAGCCGUUUCUGCUAUUUAACAAUCCCGUCAUAUAAGUAGUUUGCAAAAGGACACGAUUCCUCUAUCAUCUACAUGAUUGCUUGUGACUCUUCAUUACUUUGUGUAGAGUUCUCAGAGCCUCAGGUUAAAUGCUCAGCUAUUAAAAGGCUCGAUCAUUGUCCCACUUAAAUAUUAGGCUUCUUAGUUUCUUGAGGGUUUUGGCAGAAAUUUGAUAUCGAUAUGACGAAUAUUGCAGAGAACGUGUUGAGGUUCAUAAAAACGUCUUACUAGGCAGAUGAGACUUUUGGCUACAUAAACAUCACAACUCUGAGUUAAACUACCUACAUCAUAUAACAGUUUUUCUUUAAAUAAUCUAACUGACGUUCAUAUUAGCUUGAACAUAUUUGCUAAUGGGACCAGGAACUAAAGCAAACUGCAGAUGGACAAAAGAAUUAGGCCAUUCGAUGGGGUUUACUAAGUCAGUCAUAUGUAUUGCUGUGUUGCAUCAGUCUCAGAGUUGAAUUCCUUGAGUAUUCCUUACAAUGCGGACGUUUAUAGAACAGUAACAGUUUCCUGGGAGCCCGUACACCUCCUUCUGGAACAUGAACUUGAGGGUAAAUACAUGAACUUAAGCUUCUGAAGCUAAUAGUCAGUAGUGAACAUUAUAAAUACACUUACGAAAGACCUGGAGAAUAGAAGUUCACAAAAAGCUUUAGGAAGAAGAUAUGACAUGGUUAGAGAAAGCCGAGGACUUUUGGUUGGGACUCCGAGAGGUCUACAAAACGACCCCACAAAAGAAAAAGAAGAAUGUUUUUUUUUUUUGAGCAAAAAGAAGAAUGUUAAGUUAGAGUAAGUUUCUCAUUACAAUGAAAUAUUUCUUUCAGUAGACCAAUUUGUUGACUUUUUGGUAGGGAGAUUUUAACUAAAUAUACUCUCUUUUUUUCUCUGCGAGCUUCUAACUAAAUUGUCGAAAAUAUG